rnacentral:lncRNA from 1 species
CAAGCAGAAUCAAGCUUUAAACAGAAUUAAACCUUUUAAUCUCAAAGUACUCAAAUGUCUCAAAAUACUCCAAAAACAAGAAUUGUUGAAAUACAAUUUAACAAACGAAUACAUAAAAUAUAUUCAAAACUAACUAUCUAUGAAUCCUCUGUUGUUCCAGAUGGAUGUUGGGACAAGAUCCACGACACCUCAAAAUAACUAACUAAAAGAUGAAAGUAGAGUCCUCUAGAAUGCAAGGAGGCUCACCAAAGCUAAUUGGAAGUGCAAGUGAUCUCAACGAAGCGCCUGUUGAUGAUCCUGAAUACCUGUAUAUUCAUUAUAAAAAGAUGCAGGUCGAAUGAUAUUAGUACAUUGAAUGUAUGAGUAUGUAAUAUCGCGAAAGCAAAAUACCUGAAUGAAAGGACUACAAUAGAUAUAAAUAUAUACUCAACUGUAAGUAAAUAAAUAAAAGAGUGAAAAUAUUUAAACUUUACAAAUACUUACUCAACUCUGAACUCAACAUAUUAAGUGAUAUGAUAAAAAUACACUUUUAACUCUAUCUAGGAGAUUCUCUAACUGAUAACCAUCACUAUAAGCAAUGCAAUGGUACAACGUCUCGCUCAUGCUGCUAGAACUGUCAUAUACCUUGCGGGGAUAUAGAACAUCUCAGCUAAGUGGAUCCACUAAGGCUCUGCUUGAAAGCAAUAAGGAGUCGUCUAAAAAGUACGAUCUUUUACCCAUGUUGGCUACAUGGUUUAUGAGGAAUGUGAGUUGUCUGAACUCAUCCCCAUAUCAGUGCUCAAUACUACUCCCAAUAAAUAUAUACUCAUGCUAAAAUGUAUAAAACAUAUUCUUUCUCAAUUUUGAGGUAAUUUCUCAAAAUAUCCUCUUUAAAGAGGUAAUGCUCUGAAAUAUCUCUAAACUCGUUAACUCAUUUAGAAAUCAAAAUAUCUUUUUUCUCAAUGUAAAAAAGUGAUACAUUUGGGAAUACUUAGUUCCCUUAUACUCUUACUCAAAUCAUGUUUAAAUCUCUUUCUCAAAACUCAUCUUUCCUUUCUCCGAAAAUCAGUUUAAGAUAAAAAUAUUUACUUGAAAAGAUUCUCAAAAAUUAUAACUCAAAAUAGGGUUCAUGCUGAAAUAUAAACAUGAACACCUCAACUCAAGGAUCUCAAUAACAAUAUAGAAAACUCAAUACUAAGAAAUCCAAAACUCACAACUCAAUGAUACUACUCAUCUCAAGAAUACUCAAAAUUCAUGAUAAAAUCCUAGAUUACUCUGUUACUGAAUUUAGAUAGAUGUAAGGCGUGAGGACGAACUCAGUUUGCCACUAUGAUAGCCUUACAUACUUGGAAGAACAAAGUUCUUGGUAAAAUCGGUGAAAACUCGAAGAAUGCUUAAAACAUUAGAUUUCUCCUCUUGGAUCAUUGCUCUAAGACUUGGAAGCGCGUUAAUGAACGUAAAAGGAUUGAUUAACACUGUUCAAACCCUUAACUAGGUGUAAAAAUAUCGUGGUUUAGACUUAGAAGAGGUGGGAAAAGACUAAACUAUCCCUCUUUAAAACUAACGAAAACCUUCCACAUGUCCAUCUACGGUAUCUACGGACCGUAGAUCCCAUCUGUGGAAUUUAUAUUGAAUUUUAAGGCUCAAAAUUUUAUUCUAUGAAUCCAAUCUACAUACUACAUGUAAACCUCCUUAAAAUAUGUGAUUCCAAUAGUACUUGGGGAUCACAAGCCUAUAGCAUUUUGUGUUUUGUUAAUCCUCAUGGUAAAAUUCAUGAUUUUAAUGUUACUUAUAAGAUAAUGUUGAAUUCUCAUACAAAUAAUCGAGUCCUGAAUAUGGAGAAAAUCCUAUUGGGAGCGCCAUCCCCGAAAGGGCCCUGCAGUGCGUGAUCUGGAUUUAGUCGGAACUCCAAUGUGGGCUCCGGACGGAAAACCAAAAAGACUUUUUCAAUAGGAGCUAAAUCCAAGUGAUGUUGGAUUUUAUAGGCUUAUAUACCUAAGAAAUAUGCAACAAAGUAUUUUCUUCAAAUCCAAAGAGAGGACAUGGGCUUUUAUGAUGCAUAAAGAGACUAUGAAAGUUUAGAUAUUGUUAUUGUAAAAGAAAUAAAUUUUUUUUACACAAAGGGUUGGCAUAAAUUUGUGAAAGCUAAAGGUUUAAGAGCAAAUGAUACAAUUAUUUUCACAAAUAAUUGUACCUUUUGCUCUUAAACCUCCGUCUUUCACAAACUUAUGCCAACCCUUUUGGAAAAUAAUUUUUUUGAUUUCUUUUGCAAUAACAAUACCCGAACUUCCAUAAUCUGCUUGAUAUAUCAUAAAAUCUCACGUUCACUUUGGAUUUAAGAAAAAUAAAUACGUUAUUGCAUAUUUCUUAGGUAAAUACAAGACUAGAAAGUCCAACAUCAUCCAUCAUUAUCCUAAGUAACAUUGAAAUCAUGAAUUUUACCAAAAAAAUUAACAAAAACACAAGAUACUAUAGGCUUUUGAUCCCUAAGUAAUAUUUUAAUAUCACAUUUUAAAAAGGGUUACAUAUAGUAUAUAGAUAUCCUCGUGGUGGUAACCUGACAGUAUACAAAUCAUUACACUAAUGGUGUAUAUAAUUUAAACUCUUACGAAUUUAUAUUUUUUGUGAAUCGUUGUAUGUAAAUAUCUCUGGUAUGACAUGCAACAACAACAACAUACAUAUCUAGUGUAAUCCCACAAGUGACAUAUAGGGAGAGUAGUGUCUACACAUACCUUAGGACAAUGACCAUUAUGUUGGCCUACAACACCUUUGAGUCUUCAUCUAGAAUUGCAAGUUUUUUUCUCACAUGCAUGAAUCUUGUAUAUUUUGGGCAAUAGAUGAUUGCUCGCUCUUAAAAUGCAAUCACCAACUGUUACGUAUGUGAUUGUACUUGAUAUUAAGGUCAUUUCGUCUUUUAUGUUGCAUUUUAAGAUUAGAUGCAAUAAUUAUAUUUAUAAAAAUUUUAAAAAUAACAAUUUGCAAUAAAGCACUAAGUGGAACUCCAAUUGAGCUCAUAAAAAGCUCAUCACAAUUUUUCUUUUGUACUAAAGACUAUUUUUAUGGAUAAAUGUGUUCGAAUCUCAUGACUUCAAUUUGCAAUUGAAAGCUCGUCAAGUACUAAAGUUAAUAACAAUAAUUUGAUUCAGUAAGUGUGAAACUGUUUUAUCAAUUUUUUGCCAUCUGAAAAUUGAACUAUUUUAUGUAGUACAACAUCAUGUCCAAAUAAUUAAGAAAAUAAUAGUAUCAUGUAAAACAAUGCUAAGAGUCUGCUUGAUAUUACUGCUAAAAAUAAUUUUUUUUGAAAAGUGCUUUUGAAAAAAAAAACAAUUGGUAUUUGACCAAUUCAUUCGAAAAGUGCUUUUCAUUAGCAAAUUGCGUUUGGAUAAUCUUUUUUAAUAAAUGUUUUAAGAGUCAAAUUACAAAAAAAAAAAACUAUUAAUUUACUUCUAAUAUUAAAAUUAUUUUAUAGAGAGAAACUAUUCAAAAUAUCUAUUAAAAAAAAUAAUGAAAUUUUUUUUAAAAAAAAAUUAAAUUUUACAUGUUUAAAUUUCAAUCAAUAUUAUACCUUUUUGGGAGGAUAAAAUAAUUAAUUUUUAUUAUUUUUCUUUUUUUUUAAUCUUGUAAAAAUAUUGUUGUUACCUUUUUUCUAAUUUUACAAAAUAAUAUGUAAUAUGUAAAAUAAUAAUAUAUAAAUGUAAAAUAAAUUAUAAAAUUUAUCAUAGAAAAAAUUAAAAAUAAAUUUCUUCAAUAAAUUAACCAAACUUAUGAAAUAUGCUAAUUAAUUAAUAAGAAAUAUAUUGGUAAGUAUGUAUAUGUGAAAAUAAUAUUUUAGUCUUGAGAAAAAUAAUUUGUUGUUUCAGCUUUUUAAAUAGAAUUUUUAGCUUUUUCCCAACAACAUAAAAUCUGCUUCUGCUUAUAUUUAAAAUCACUUUUAUUGAUUUGUCAAACACUUAAUUUUUCAAUAAAAAUGUAUUUUUUUCUCAAAAUAAAUAUUUUUGAUACCCCAACCGCAAUGCCAAAGAAGCUCUAAUAUUGAGUAUAAUAUUACUACCUAAUUCAAUCACUAUCUCAUACAAAAUAAAUAAAAAUCAAUAAGGUAAUCUAUUUAAUCAACUAGUACUCUACAAUUACACAGAGAUAACAGAACCAAAAAAUAUAAUUAUAAAACUUACUUGUAGGCAUAAAAUCAAAACUAUAAGACUUCACAUUGUCGUGAUAGAUGAAUGAGAAAAUUGAGGAAAUAUAAUUUCUAUAGAAGAAGAUUAAAAAUAAAUAUCGAUAUAUGUAAUAAUUAUUCACUUCAAUUGGAAAUUCAAAUGAUUUACACAUGAAACCUCUGAUUUUAGAAUGUAGAGAAGUUAUUUUUAUAUAUCCUUAAUUUAAGGAAAAACAUAUCAAAAAAAGAAGUAAUGAAAUUAACAUAAUCAUGAUAAAAUAUUAUAAAAGCAUGCCAAAACAUUCUAAACUAAUUUAAUAAUUAUAAUAAAACAAUACGGUAAUUGACAUACAGGAGACAAUGAACUCAAUUCUACAACCAGACAAAAAGAUUCUAAAAAAGAAAAUCUCACCAAAAUGGAGACACCAAUUGGGGAUUAGAUUAGAUGAGAUGAAAAAUACAAAAUUGAUACUCAUCCCAAUAUCUCAGUUGGUAUUUAUAAUAGAACACUGAAUAUGUAUUUAUGGGAAUAUGAAAUAAUGUUCAUUAAAUUCAAUAAAUAGGUUAACAUAUAUUUCAAUUAAUUUAAAAUUGUCAUGUGAUAGACAUUAAGACGUAUUAAUUGUCCAUUUAAUUGAAUAAUAAUGUUAUGAUCCUUUCUUAAUAUUACCUUCAAAUUACAAAAGAAAAGAUCUAUUUUUUUUUAAAAAAAGACAAAAAAAUGAGAAAAAUAAUAAUAUAUUAUUUGGCAGAGAAACCUCAUCGUGUUUUUUUUUAUUCCAGCUUUUUAAUAUCAAAAUAGAUUGCAUACCAAAAGGUGGGAUAGUAAUAACUAUUCUUGAAAUGACAUAAUUAUAUUGUAUGCAUUAAACUAUUAUUUUAUUUUCUUAGCAGAAAAAUGAAUUGAAAUAUCAAAAAGUUGAAAAAAAAGAUAAAUACAAAUCUAGACUAUAAAGAGGCGUCACAUCACAUUCUUUAUAUCUACCAUUAUUAUAUAUAAAUCAGAUUUUAAUCAAUUUAAUCAUAUAUAUAUAUAUACUUAUUUUAUUGAGAGAUAGAGAUUGUAAAACGAUUUGACAUUUAUGGCUAGAGAUGACAAAGGAACGGGUGAGUAGAAUACGGGUGUCAAGCCCCGAGCCUACAUCCUGGACGUGGCCGACACUCGAGAACUAUUGCUGGUCCCAAGCGAACCCUUGGCCUGACUUAACUCUUAGCGGAUGACUUACUCAACAUAUAAUAGACUUAAAAGAAAGAUUUAACUCAAAUAACUAACUCGGAAUAUUUAAAGAAACAUUCAAUAGCCAAAGUGAUAACUCAAGUUUCAGACAUCAAUAACUGAAAUGGAAAGAUUCAUGAACUAAUAAUGUCUAACUAUCUAUGAAGCAUCUUCUAACUGAGAUGGACGUCAGGACGAGACCCACGACAUCUUAAUAAUAAGACUGAAAUGAUAAAGUAAACAAGGGAUCCUCCGAAAUGCAAUGAGGCUCACUAACAACUCUGAAGCUCAACUGGAUCAACGAAGCGCUGGAGUUGAUCUUGGUUACCUGUAUCUGCAUCAUAAAAGAUGCAAGCAAAAUGACGUCAGUACAUGGAAUGUACGAGCAUGUGAGGGGAAUUCUAAAACAAGACAUAAGCUUGAAAUGGAAUUGAAGAAACACUUACCUCAUCUCAACUAAACUAUACUCAUUUCAAUAUUGAAGAAACACUUACCUCAAUCUCAACUAAACUAUACUCAUUUCAAUAUAAAACAGUGAUAAAGAUGAAAUAUAAAGAAAAAGCUUUUUAAAACAGUAGAUAGCAACUCAAUGUAUUGAAAAAUACAAUAAUAACUAAAUUUUUUGUAUAUAAAAAUACAAGUAACGAUGUGGGAGAUUCUCUAACCGACAACCAUCACUAUGAGCUAUGUGAUGAUACAACGUCUAGCCCACGCUGCCAGAACUAUCCUAUACUUUGCCGGGGUAUGAAACCUACUACUAAGUAGAUCCACUAGUCUAUGCUAAAAAGCAUUAAGGAAUUAUCUAAAAAGUAUGACCCUUUCUACCCAUGUUGGCUACAUGGUUUAUGAGGGCUAUGAGUUGUAUGAACUCUCCCCCAUAUCGGUGCUCAAUACUACUCCCAAAAUACACUAGCUCAUAUGUUUAAAAACAUAACUCUUUCUGUGGUUUGAGAUUAUUAAUCAAAAAUCUUUCUCUUAAAAGAGAUAUUACUUAGAACUGCUCAUAAAAACUCUUUUGGAAAUCGGUGUUUCCUCUCAUCUUAAAUGUAAAAACAUUUGCUCUUGGGAAUACUUAGUUUCCAUAUAUCAUUUUAAAGAAAAUGAACUCAGUCUACUCUUCCUCAACUCUAUGUUCAAGUCAUUUAAAACAAGUUGUAAAACAAUCGUAAAAGACCUUUUAAAAUGGCUCGAAGAACUCUCAAGACUUGAAUCUCAACUCUACCUUGAAUGUGACUUAUGGAUUCAAGGGUUAUGAUCUCAUGUUAUGGAUGACCUCUUGAUAUUUAGACGUACCUUAGAGUGUAGAAAUCAAUUAGAAAACAUAGGUACGAUUCGAGGGAACUCAAAUGGAAAGAAGGUCGAAAUGGUAGAGGACCUGGCGACCCUGGUGCACUGAGUGGCGCAGGGCGCAAGACCCUGAACUACAGAAGCUGACUUGGGGCGCACUGAGUGGCGUGACGCCCCAAUACCCAAAUUACAUAACCUGACUUGGGGUGCACUGAGUGGCGCGGCACCCCACCCCUUUUCUCCUUGAUGAAUUUUCUUACUCGUUCUCUAACUCCAAUUCACGUAUAAUCUAAUGGUUUCUUCCCCAAUCUCUUAGAUUCAAAUACCCAACAAUAGUACACAAUAAUCUACUAAAAAAAACUCUUAAACUCCAACGAUUAUGUCAAGAAAUCAUCAAACCCAUCCUAAUUCAAGAACGAAAACAAUACUUCAAGAAACAAAUCAAGAACUCAAACUCUUUAAUUUCAAGAAGGAAACUUCGCUGAAAAUAACAUGAUUGGCGUGUGGGUGAACGAACCCAACACUAUGAGAACUCACAUACCUCUUAGGGAUCAACCCUUGGCGAAAUCCGCAACCAAAAACCUCAAGAACUUGAUGAACGCUUGACUUUUCUCCUUUUCUCCUCUUCUUGAACUUCUCUAGAAACCCUAGCAUAAAUUACGAUUUGUAAAACUGAAGCAAAUCAGUUUAGACCCCUAAAUAUUACUAAACUAGUAAAAUUGAUGAGUCCACAAAUUGGACUUAGUUAGGGCUUUAUUUUGAUAAGAAUAGUGUCCUCGAAUGCUUGUUUUGUCUAAAUAUCUGAUGAAAACUCUUAACUUUCAGGUAUUUGAAGUUUUAGAGAAAGCAUGGACACUUAGGCGCAAAAAGGAAGAAAAAGGCUGAAAGAACGAAGAAAUUGAAGCCCAAGCAUCGCCAAGCACACUUGGCGAUUCGCCGAAGGGAUUUACUUCGCCCUUUGUUCCAAUACGCGAGGCCCUGAAGGAGAAGGAUAAAAAAGGCGAUGAAAGGAGGAGUCGGCGCUUUGCCAAAUAGUUCCACGAAGCAGUACUAUAUCGCCCAAUGAUCUAGAAUGUGAAGAUGCUGAAGGCAAUCACAAAACGUCGAUGAGACAGACGAAAGGCGAGUCGCCGAAGUCAUUCGGCGAUAUCGACUAACUUCACCGAAAGAUCCGUCAGCGCUAUUUUUGAAGUCUAUAAAUACUGAACUUGUUAUUCAUUUUAAAGAGUCGAACAUUUAUUUUAAUUUCCAGAAUAGAAUAGUACUUUUUGGAUAUUUUUCUCUCAAGUUUAGAGAGGGUUUUUCGGGAGACUUGAAGAAAGAAGGAUUUCAUCUUCCCCAAGUUGGAAGUGGGUCUUCUCCAUUCUUCUUCCUUUGCUUAAAUUAAGGUUUAAUUUCUUAUACCCAUUUGAUUUUACUAUCAUUUUAGGUGUAUUUUGUUAUUUCUUGAUGUGUGGCUAAAAACCCUUUCACCUAGUAGUUGUGGUUUAAUCUAAAGGGUUUGUAGUUGCAAAUACAAAGCCACCCAUGUCUUUUCGUCUUGCCCGAGAGGGAGGUCGCAAAACCAAGACCACUGACCUAAGGGUGGUAACGGGUCUGAGUUUGGUAGGUCGGAACGACUGGAAUCAGAAUGACUCUACUCGGGUUUCUUCCGGGACUAGGAUCAAUCGGGUCGCGAUAUUCGGGAUGAAAUGGAAGUUCCCUCAUGUCACUUCUGAGCCAACACAUUAGAUGUGGCCGACACUUGAGAACCAUUGUUGGUCAUCAAGCGAACCCUUAGCAUGGCUAACUACUUAGCGAAAAACUAACUCAAGCAGAAUCAAGCUUUAAACAGAAUUAGACCUUUUAAUCUCAAAGUACUCGAAUGUCUCAAAAUACUCCAAUAACAAGAAUUGUUGAAAUACAAUUUAACAAAGAAAUACAAAAAAUAUAUUCAAAACUAUAUACCUAUGAAGCCUCUGUUGUUCCAGAUGGAAGUUGGGACAAGAUCCACGACACCUCAAAAUAACUAACUAAAAGAUAAAAGUAGAGUCUUCUAGAAUGCACAGAGGCUCACCAAAGCUAACUAGAAGUGCAAGUGAUCUCAACGAAGCGCCUGUUGAUGAUCCUGAACACCUGUAUAUGUAUUAUAAAACGAUACAGGUCGAAUGCUAUCAGUACAUUGAAUGUAUGAGUAUGUAAUAUCGCGAAAGAAAAUACCUGAAUGAUUGGACUACAAUAGAUAUAAAUAUAUACUCAACUGUAAGUAAAGAAAUAAAAGAGUGAAAACAUUUAAACUUUACAAAUACUUACUCAUCUCUGAACUCAACAUAUUAAGUGAUAUGAUAAAAAUACACUUUUAACUCUAUCUAGGAAAUUCUCUAACCGAUGACCAUCACUAUGAGCAACGCAAUGGUACAACGUCUCGCUCAUGCUGCUAGAACUGUCCUAUACCUUGCGGGGAUAUAGAACAUCUCAACUAAGUGGAUCCACUAAGGCUCUGCUUGAAAGCAAUAAGGAGUCGUCUAAAAAGUACGAUCUUUUACCCAUGUUGGCUACAUGGUUUAUGAGGAAUGUGAGUUGUCUGAACUCAUCCUCAUAUCAGUGCUCAAUACUACUCCCAAUAAAUAUAUACUCAUGCUAAAAUGUAUAAAACAUAUUCUUUCUCAAUUUUGAGGUAAUUUCUCAAAAUAUCCUCUUUAAAGAGGUAAUGCUCUGAAAUAUCUCUAAACUCGUUAACUCAUUUAGAAAUCAAAAUAUCUUUUUUCUCAAUGUAAAAAAGUGAUACAUUUGGGAAUACUUAGUUCCCUUAUACUCUUACUCAAAUCAUGUUUAAAUCUCUUUCUCAAAACUCAUCUUUACUUUCUCCAAAGAUCAGUUUAAGACAAAAAUAUUUACUUUAAAAGAUUCUCAAAAAUUAUAACUCAAAAUAGGGUUCAUGCUGAAAUAUAAACAUGAACACCUCAACUCAAGGAUCUCAAUAACAAUAUAGAAAAUUCAAUACUAAGAAAUCCAAAACUCACAACUCAAUGAUACUACUCAUCUCAAGAAUACUCAAAAUUCAUGAUAAAAUCCUAGAUUACUCUUUUACUGAAUUUAGAUAGAUGUAAGGCGUGAGGACGAACAUAGUUCGCCACUAUGAUAGCCUUACAUACUUGGAAGAACAAAGUUCUUGGUGAAAUAGGUGAAAACUCGGAGAACGCUUAAAACCUUAGAUUUCUCCUCUUGGAUCAUUGCUCUAAGACUUGGAAGCGCGUUAAUGAACGUAAAAGGAUUGAUUAACACUGUUCAAACCCUUAACUUGGUGUAAAAAUAUCGUGGUUUAGACUUAGAAGAGGUGGGAAAAGACUAAACUAUCCCUCUUUAAAACUAACGAAAACCUUCCACAUGUCCAUCUACGAUUCGUGGUUUGAUCUACGGACCGUAGAUCCCAUCUGUGGAAUUUAUAUUGAAUUUUAAGGCUCAAAAUUUUAUUAUAUUAGUCCAAUCUACAUACUACAUGUAAACCUCCUUAAAAUAUGUGAAUUCCAAUAGUACUCGGGGAUCACAAGCGUAUAGCAUUUUGUGUUUUGUUAAUCCUCUUGGUAAAAUUCAUGAUUUUAAUGUUACUUAUAAGAUAAUGUUGAAUUCUCAUACAAAUAAUCGAGUCCUGGGUAUGGAGAAAAUCCUGUUGGGAGCGCCACCCCCGAAUGGGCGCUGCAGUGCGCAAUUCGAAUUUUAGUCGGAACUCCAAUGUGGGCUCCGGACACCAAAUGGGAAACCAAAAAGACUUUUUCAAAAGGAGCUAACUCCAAGUGAUGUUGGAUUUUAUAGGCUUAUAUACCUANNNNNNNNNNNNNNNNNNNNNNNNNNNNNNNNNNNNNNNNNNNNNNNNNNNNNNNNNNNNNNNNNNNNNNNNNNNNNNNNNNNNNNNNNNNNNNNNNNNNUUGUGUGUGUUUGAUUGGGCUGAAUAAUGUAGAAUUAUAUUGAAAUUAAAUUUGCAGGUGGGCAACAGAAGCUGAGUACUGCUACUGUCAAAAAUAUUGCAGAAAAAGCGACGGACAGCGUGGUUUAGUCUGUCGCUUUUUUGAGUUUUAAUUUUUUUUAAAACCCAGAAAAGUGAUGGACAGCGUGGUUUUUUCCGUCGUUUUUUUUAGGUUUUUUUAAAAAAAUUCAAAAAAAAAAAGUCGAAAAGCGACUCAGUCCGUCGCUAAAAGAGACGCAGUCCGUCUCUAAAAGCGACGCAGUCACUUCCGUCGCUUUUUAGCUCGUCGCUUUUCAAAAAGCGACGGACUGCGUCGCCCUGUAGAAAUUAAAAAAAAAUGAAAACUAAAAUAAAGCGACGGACUCCGUCACUUUUUUAAAAAAAUUCAAAAAAAAAAAGUCGAAAAGCGACUCAGUCCGUCGCUAAAAGAGACGCAGUCCGUCUCUAAAAGCGACGCAGUCCGUCGCUUUUUGAAAAGCGACGAGCUAAAAAGCGACGGAAGUGACUGCGUCGCUUUUCCGUCAAUUUUGACCAAAAAAGCGACGCAGUCCGUCACUUUUGCCCGUCGUUUUUCCACAAUUUUUUAGUAGUGGGAGUCGGCACUUCGCCAAAUAGUUCCACGAAGCAGUACUAUAUCGCCCAAUGGUCUAGAAUGUGAAGAUGCUGAAGGCAAUCACGAAACACCGAUGAGACAGACGAAGGGCGAGUCGCCGAAGUCAUUUGGCGAUAUCGACUAACUUCACCGAAAGAUCAGUCAGCGUUAUUUUUUGAAGUCUAUAAAUACUGAACUUGUUAUUCAUUUUAAAGAGUCGAACAUUUAUUUUAAUUUCCAUAAUAGAAUAAUACUUUUUGGAUAUUUUUCUCUCAAGUUUAGAGAGGGUUUUUCGGGAGACUUGAAGAAAGAAGGAUUUCAUCUUUCCCAAGUUGGAAGUGGGUCUUCUCCAUUCUUCUUCCUUUGCUUAAAUUAAGGUUUAAUUUCUUAUACCCAUUUGAUUUUACUAUCAUUUUAGGUGUAUUUUGUUAUUUCUUGAUGUGUGGCUAAAAACCCUUUCACCUAGUAGUUGUGGUUUAAUCUAAAGGGUUUGUAGUUGCAAAUACAAAGCCACCCAUGUCUUUUCGGCUUGCCCGAGAGGGAGGUCGCAAAACCAAGACCACUGACCUAAGGGUGGUAACGGGUCUGGGUUUGGUAGGUCGGAACGACUGGAAUCAGGAUGACUCUAGUCGGGUUUCUUCCGGGACUAGGAUCAAUCGGGUCGCGAUAUUCGGGAUGAAAUGGAAGUCCCCUCCUGUCACUUCUGAGCCAACACCUUAGAUGUGGCCGACACUUGAGAACCAUUGUUGGUCCUCAAGCGAACCCUUAGCAUGGCUAACUACUUAGCGAAAAACUAACUCAAGCAGAAUCAAGCUUUAAACAGAAUUAGACCUUUUAAUCUCAAAGUACUCGAAUGUCUCAAAAUACUCCAAAAACAAGAAUUGUUGAAAUACAAUUUAACAAAGAAAUACAAAAAAUAUAUUCAAAACUAAAUAUCUAUGAAGCCUCUGUUGUUCCAGAUGGAAGUUGAGACAAGAUCCACGACACCUCAAAAUAACUAACUAAAAGAUAAAAGUAGAGUCUUCUAGAAUGCAAGGAGGCUCACCAAAGCUAACUGGAAGUGCAAGUGAUCUCAACGAAGCGCCUGUUGAUGAUCCUGAACACCUGUAUAUGUAUUAUAAAACGAUACAGGUCGAAUGCUAUCAGUACAUUGAAUGUAUGAGUAUGUAAUAUCGCGAAAGAAAAUACCUGAAUGAUUGGACUACAAUAGAUAUAAAUAUAUACUCAACUUUAAGUAAAGAAAUAAAAGAGUGAAAACAUUUAAACUUUACAAAUACUUACUCAUCUCUGAACUCAACAUAUUAAGUGAUAUGAUAAAAAUACACUUUUAACCCUAUCUAGGAGAUUUUCUAACCGAUGACCAUCACUAUGAGCAACGCAAUGGUACAACGUCUCGCUCAUGCUGCUAGAACUGUCCUAUACCUUGCGGGGAUAUAGAACAUCUCAACUAAGUGGAUCCACUAAGGCUCUGCUUGAAAGCAAUAAGGAGUCGUCUAAAAAGUACGAUCUUUUACCCAUGUUGGCUACAUGGUUUAUGAGGAAUGUGAGUUGUCUGAACUCAUCCUCAUAUCAGUGCUCAAUACUACUCCCAAUAAAUAUAUACUCAUGCUAAAAUGUAUAAAACAUAUUCUUUCUCAAUUUUGAGGUAAUUUCUCAAAAUAUCCUCUUUAAAGAGGUAAUGCUCUGAAAUAUCUCUAAACUCGUUAACUCAUUUAGAAAUCAAAAUAUCUUUUUUCUCAAUGUAAAAAAGUGAUACAUUUGGGAAUACUUAGUUCCCUUAUACUCUUACUCAAAUCAUGUUUAAAUCUCUUUCUCAAAACUCAUCUUUACUUUCUCCAAAGAUCAGUUUAAGACAAAAAUAUUUACUUUAAAAGAUUCUCAAAAAUUAUAACUCAAAAUAGGGUUCAUGCUGAAAUAUAAACAUGAACACCUCAACUCAAGGAUCUCAAUAACAAUAUAGAAAAUUCAAUACUAAGAAAUCCAAAACUCACAACUCAAUGAUACUACUCAUCUCAAGAAUACUCAAAAUUCAUGAUAAAAUCCUAGAUUACUCUUUUACUGAAUUUAGAUAGAUGUAAGGCGUGAGGACGAACAUAGUUCGCCACUAUGAUAGCCUUACAUACUUGGAAGAACAAAGUUCUUGGUGAAAUAGGUGAAAACUCGGAGAACGCUUAAAACCUUAGAUUUCUCCUCUUGGAUCAUUGCUCUAAGACUUGGAAGCGCGUUAAUGAACGUAAAAGGAUUGAUUAACACUGUUCAAACCCUUAACUUGGUGUAAAAAUAUCGUGGUUUAGACUUAGAAGAGGUGGGAAAAGACUAAACUAUCUCUCUUUAAAACUAACGAAAACCUUCCACAUGUCCAUCUACGAUUCGUGGUUUGAUCUACGGACCGUAGAUCCCAUCUGUGGAAUUUAUAUUGAAUUUUAAGGCUCAAAAUUUUAUUAUAUUAGUCCAAUCUACAUACUACAUGUAAACCUCCUUAAAAUAUGUGAUUCCAAUAGUACUUGGGGAUCACAAGCCUAUAGCAUUUUGUGUGUUGUUAAUCCUCUUGGUAAAAUUCAUGAUUUUAAUGUUACUUAUAAGAUAAUGUUGAAUUCUCAUACAAAUAAUCGAGUCCUGGGUAUGGAGAAAAUCCUGUUGGGAGCGCCACCCCCGAAUGGGCGCUGCAGUGCGCAAUUCGAAUUUAGUCGGAACUCCAAUGUGGGCUCCGGACACCAAAUGGGAAACCAAAAAGUCAAUAGGAGCUAAAUCCAAGUGAUGUUGGAUUUUAUAGGCUUAUAUACCUAAGAAAUAUGCAACAAAGUAUUUUCUUCAAAUCCAAAGAGAGGACAUGGGCUUUUAUGAUGCAUAAAGAGACUAUGAAAGUUUAGAUAUUGUUAUUGUAAAAGAAAUAAAAAAAAUUUUUACACAAAGGGUUGACAUAAAUUUGUGAAAGCUAAAGGUUUAAGAGCAAAUGAUACAAUUAUUUUCACAAAUAAUUGUACCUUUUGCUCUUAAACCUCCGUCUUUCACAAACUUAUGCCAACCCUUUUGGAAAAUAAUUUUUUUAAUUUCUUUUGCAAUAACAAUACCCGAACUUCCAUAAUCUGCUUGAUAUAUCAUAAAAUCUCACGUUCACUUUGGAUUUAAGAAAAAUAAAUACGUUAUUGCAUAUUUCUUAGGUAAAUACAAGACUAGAAAGUCCAACAUCAUCCAUCAUUAUCCUAAGUAACAUUGAAAUCAUGAAUUUUACCAAAAAAAUUAACAAAAACACAAGAUACUAUAGGCUUUUGAUCCCUAAGUAAUAUUUUAAUAUCAUAUUUUAAAAAGGUUUACAUAUAGUAUAUAGAUAUCCUCGUGGUGGUAACCUGACAGUAUACAAAUCAUUACACUAAUGGUGUAUAUAAUUUAAACUCUUACGAAUUUAUAUUUUUUGUGAAUCGUUGUAUGUAAAUAUCUCUGGUAUGACAUGCAACAACAACAACAUACAUAUCUAGUGUAAUCCCACAAGUGACAUAUAGGGAGAGUAGUGUCUACACAUACCUUAGGACAAUGACCAUUAUGUUGGCCUACAACACCUUUGAGUCUUCAUCUAGAAUUGCAAGUUUUCUUCUCACAUGCAUGAAUCUUGUAUUUUUUGGGCAAUAGAUGAUUGCUCGCUCUUAAAAUGCAAUCACCAACUGUUACGUAUGUGAUUGUACUUGAUAUUAAGGUCAUUUCGUCUUU